UCUCUCUCUCUGUGUGUGUGUUCUCGAUCUAACUGAACAAAUUGAGCAUCGCGGAACUUGGUGGCCACUGUGCUAAUCUAGAUCCAGGGCUUACUCGUUUUGGGUAUUUCAUUCAUUUUGGCUUACUCUUCAGUCGUUCCUCUCCUUUCUCGUUGAAUCUAAUUCGACUCAGAUGCUUCCAAUUCAAUGGCGGGGUCAUUCAUGCGAGUUUCUUUCUGUCCGAGUGAAAUUCGUACAGAAUUUCGAUUCAACUCAGAUGGUCUCUCUUCUCUGUUCUCGGAAAGCUCGCGUCUUGGAAAGAGGAAGAAGUUGAUAGAAAUGGGAAAUUGGAGAGAGCAAUUGAUGGGGUUUCAAAAGAGGAAAAGAUAAUAAUUUCGAAAAACUUUGAACAUAGAAAUGGCAAAUUGGAGGGACAGAUUGAUGGAAUUUCAGUUGGUGUUUCAAAAAAGGAGGGGAUGGUGAUUUCAAAAGGCUUAAUUGGGGCUGCUGUGGAUGAAAUUCUAUUUGGGGAUAGUGAAAAUGAUGAAAAUGUGGAACCUUUUGUGUCUUCUGGUCGUGAUUCUCAAGCUUCUACUCGGUUGCCUUGGGAGAGAGAAGGUGAAUUGGGUAAUGGGGAAGGUGGUAAGACAAUAAAGAAGUGGAGUAAUACGCUUUCGGCUGAGGCAUCCCUUCUGGAGCAUGAGUUGAAGAGGCUAAGGAAUGUUUAUUUGAGGAUGCUGGAAAGGACUAAAGUCGGAGCUGCCGGUAUCACACAGGGUUUGGUGGAUGCUAUACAUGAGAAGUGGAAGGUGGAUGAAGUGGUCAAGUUGAAGUUUGAGGAGCCACUCUCACUUAACAUGAAAAGAACUCAUGGCAUUUUAGAGAGUAAAACUGGAGGUUUGGUUAUAUGGAGAUCAGGCAGUUCAGUAGUGUUAUACAGGGGAAUAUCAUACAAUCUUCUGUGUGUGAAGUCAUAUACCAAACAUUUGGAGACUGUUGACCUAUCUUUCCACUGGUUUGAUUCAUUUUUUCUUUCGAAGCUAUAAUUUCUGUUCAAGGAGCUCCAAAGAUCUCCUCAGACCCGACUGCAAUCGCACCGAGUAUUUUCUCAGUGCAAUUAUCAAUUACCAUCUUUAUAGAUAUUGAGGAGCGGCACGAAUUGUUGCAGGGCUAGGUUUCCCAGGAGAAGAGAUUUGUAGAUGCAAAAUGAGUUCAACGUAAUGGUGGUCAGAAGUUGGAGCUGCACGAUUUUGUACGAUGGCUCAGUUCAUUGAUCAAGACCCUUUGCAGCAGCAAGUGCAAUUUUCAUUGAUCAAGACCCUUUGCAGCCAAGUGCAAUUUUCAUUCAUCCAUCAAAUUUGCAGCACCAAGUGCAAUUUUCAGUUCAGGCUCAGUUCACAGAGUAUAGGGCUUUUCAAUUAAGAAUAGGUAUAUUAAUUUUAAUUUGUUUUUUUUUAAUAUGAAAUUGUGCAGUCACCAUUGCUAGAAGAGAUGAUUAAUUUCUUUUUUUCCAGGGGUCCAUUCAGAUGCAAUUGUCAUGAUUGAAACAGAAAGAGGAAGACUUUGAGAAAUACAAAGGUCUGGAAGAUUUGGAAUUUAUAUAAGGGGUUCAAACCAAGUGAGUCUUCUCUGACCUGUAUCUUUGGUUUAAUUUGGUUUGUUAGAUAAGUUGCCAGAUUGAUGCAGAGACAAUGAGUUUGGGUACAAGUACAAUGGCCAGCAGUGACUAAGUGAGUUCUUAUCUUUGAUAUUUCUCUCCUUCAUGAUUGAUAUAACUUUUAGUUAUCUUUUGAACUUCUCGGAGAAGAAGAAGAAGAGAGAGAUGGAAGGAAACAAGAGGCAGAGAAGAUAGAGGUUUCGGAUGCAACUAGUGACCAUGAAAUUCGGAGGGAGUCUGUAGGAGAAGAAGGGAAUCCAGAUUCAAGCAGUGAUAGAGCAAUAGACUGAGUUUCAAUAUGUUAUUGCAUAUUUUUGUUAAGUGUUACUCUUGGUUGUCUUCAUUAGGUACUUGGUUUUGGGCAUAACUUAAUUUGUACUUCUUCUAAUUACCUAUACUGAUAGUGCAACAACUUAAUUACAUUGCAAUGAAAUAGAUGAGUUAAUGAACAA